rnacentral:lncRNA from 1 species
UUUUCAAGCUUUUAUCCUUUGGAUCAAUUCCUUUGAUCAUUUCUAACCAUUGGAAUAAAUAUUAUAAUCCAGUGGAAACCACUCAAUCCUAGAGGGACCACUCAACCCUAAGAGACUAAUAUUAUUCUAACUGUCACGCCCCGGGACCGGCAGAGGCACUCCCGGUAGCGUGGCCAGACCCGCCAUAUGUCAGCACAUAUAAGGCGUCUACCACAACAGCGAAAAUAAAACCAAAGAUAAUCAACAUCUAGAGAUAUCAUAGCACAAAUAGAUCUAUC